AGCGCCUACGGGGGGCAGCAGUGAGGAAUAUUGGUCAAUGGGCGCGAGCCUGAACCAGCCAAGUCGCGUGAGGGAUGAAGGAUCUAUGGUUCGUAAACCUUUUUUAUAAGGGAAUAAAGUGCGGGACGCGUCCCGCUUCGCAUGUACCUUAUGAAUAAGGAUCGGCUAACUCCGUGCCAGCAGCCGCGGUAAUACGGAGGAUCCGAGCGUUAUCCGGAUUUAUUGGGUUUAAAGGGUGCGUAGGCGGCCUUUUAAGUCAGCGGUGAAAUCGCGGGGCUCAACCCCGCCGAGCCGUCGGAACUGGG
rnacentral:rRNA from 1 species